rnacentral:lncRNA from 1 species
AGGCUCGCUACAUGGUCAGAUGUAACAUACUAGGUGUUAGUAUAAAAAUAAAAAUAAAUAAAAAUAGGGUGAGAAACUAUUUUUAUUGGAUUUAGAGGAGUAAAAUAUAAGUCAGAAAUAACUUGUGCUGAAAUCGGACUGGAAACAGAAGAUUUAAAAUUUUCUGUUGGAAACGGGACAGAUAAAUUAGCAGAAAAUGCACAGUCUCAGAAAAUUAUGAAAAUUGGAGGAUUGGUCAGAAAUAUUUUUAUGAGGCUAGAUUUGAAGUUUCAUAUUU